rnacentral:misc_RNA from 1 species
AGUUUUUCAUCACGUUUUCUUUGUAUUUUACCAUCAAGUUUCCAUAAUUGUUCAUCAACGUCUUCCAUUGCAUUUGAUACAGAUCGAGAAGCAUUGAUAGUAUGGUUGCUAGUCUCUGUUUCAUCCAUUGGUUUUGUUUCUAAAAUGUCAAUGUUGGCAGUACUAGUUGAGGGAGUACUCCACAACUGUGUAUUACUCUGAGGAGCCAGAUAUAACAUAUCUCCAUGAGAAAGAUGUGCUCCUGAAAUUGUUCUGUUAUGAGAAACUGGAAGUUCAUUUUUAUGAUUUCGUUCCUUAUAGAGUCCAAAUCCAAAAGUGUUCAAUUCAAAGGUUUUA